AAGAAGAGAUACCUAAAGGCCCAGGCCUUCGGCAGAGGAGGGCUGUUCUUCCCUUGGGUUUUAUGACUGGGAGGAACUAGCCUUCUCUCUGCUUAGGAGUGGGCCAACAGUUUCCUUCAUUCAGA
rnacentral:pre_miRNA from 14 species